rnacentral:ncRNA from 17 species
CUGAACCAGCGACGCGACGACUCCCGUUCUCCAUCCGGGCACCUGGAACGGGCCGAGCCAGUGGUGCGCCCACCGCUUCGC